rnacentral:misc_RNA from 1 species
AGAGAGAGAGAGAGAGUGAGGAGAAGCACAAUCUUUCAACUGGAUCUAAUAGCAUAGGCUCCCGCGAUUCUCUCUCUAAUCUGAGAUUCCAAAGGAUGUCUAUUCGCCACGAGAAAGAGAAAGGCGUUAAUGUUCAAGUCCUUCUUCGUUGCAGACCAUUUAGUGAUGAGGAGUCGAGGAAAAAUGCUCCUCAGGUUGUUUGCAACGAGUACCAGAGGGAGGUUGCCGUUUCUCAGAGUAUUGCUGGGAAGCAUAUAGAUAGAGUUUUCACUUUCGACAAGGUUUUUGGUCCUUCUGCUCAACAAGAAGAUCUUUAUGAACAAGCUAUGGUGCCAAUUGUAAAUGAAGUUUUAGAAGGCUUCAACUGUACUAUUUUCGCAUAUGGUCAAACUGGUACAGGUAAAACAUACACGAUGGAAGGGGAAUGCAAAAGGUCAAAGAGUGGCCCUAACGGAGAAUUGCCUCCAGAAGCAGGGGUCAUACCCAGAGCUGUUAAGCAAAUAUUUGAUACACUCGAAAGCCAGAAUGCUGAAUAUAGUGUGAAAGUUACUUUCUUAGAACUGUACAAUGAGGAGAUCACUGAUUUGCUUGCCCCAGAUGAAAUUUCUAAAGUAGCUUUGGAGGAGAAGCAAAAGAAGCAGUUGCCUCUAAUGGAGGACGGGAAAGGUGGAGUUCUUGUAAGAGGUCUGGAGGAGGAAAUAGUAACAAGUGCCAGUGAGAUAUUUACUCUUCUUGAAAGGGGUUCCGCAAAACGUCGCACUGCAGAAACUUUGUUAAACAAGCAAUCAAGUCGGUCGCAUUCUCUUUUUUCCAUUACAAUACAUAUCAAGGAAGCAACUCCCGAAGGUGAAGAACUAAUCAAAUGCGGGAAGUUGAAUUUGGUUGAUCUAGCGGGUUCAGAAAAUAUCUCGCGUUCUGGUGCUCGGGAGGGACGCGCUAGAGAAGCUGGUGAAAUCAAUAAAAGUCUACUUACUUUGGGUCGCGUAAUUAAUGCUCUCGUGGAGCAUCUUGGGCAUGUCCCAUACAGGGAUAGCAAGCUCACUAGGUUGCUUCGUGAUUCACUUGGGGGAAGAACGAAAACGUGCAUAAUAGCAACAGUUUCACCAGCUGUUCAUUGUCUCGAAGAGACAUUGAGUACACUGGAUUAUGCACACAGAGCCAAGAAUAUAAAAAAUAAGCCAGAGGUGAACCAAAAAAUGAUGAAAUCAACUCUUAUCAAGGACCUUUAUGGAGAGAUUGAAAGGCUCAAGGCAGAGGUGUAUGCUGCACGGGAAAAAAAUGGGGUUUAUAUCCCAAAGGAGCGAUACUAUCAGGAGGAAAGUGAAAGGAAGGCCAUGGCCGAUCAGAUAGAACAAAUGGGAGUUACUAUAGAAACCCAUCAGAAGCAACUGGAGGAUUUACAGGAAAAAUAUAAUGCCCAAGUUCAACAAUGUUCUCAUUUGAGCAGAAAACUUGAUGCCACCGAGAAAAACUUGAAUGAAACCUGCAAAUUGCUCACCAGUACUGAGGAAGAACUGAAGAAAUGUCUAUAUGCUUUGAAGGAGAGGGAUUUUGUCAUAUCUGAACAGAGAAAAGCAGAGAAUGCUCUGGCUCAACAAGCAUGUGUUUUACGUUCUGACUUAGAGAAAGCUCUUCAAGAUAAUAUUUCUUUGUACCAAAAGAUUGGUAUGCUUUCCUUAUUUGAUAAUGCAAAGUUUUGUCAGUGGUUAAUUUAAAAAUGGUAUCAAAUGGAAUGCUUUAUAGGACGAGAAGAUAAGCUGAAUGCUGAUAAUAGAGCACUGGUGACCAAUUUCCAAAAGGAGCUCUCCCAACAAGUUGGUUCUCUUCAAAAUAUGGUGGCUUCAUCAAUGUUGAGGCAAGAUGAACAUCUUGAGUGUGUUGAGAAACUUUGUCAUUCUUUCCUAGACAUACAUGAUAAGGCAGUGAAGGAUAUGAAGAAGAAAUUGACAGCUUCAAGGGCUUUAUAUAUUUCCCACAUUGAGGCGGUGCAAAACGUUGUACGAUUGCACAAGGCUAGCGCUAUCGCUGGCUUAGAGGAAAUUUCAUGUUUGGCUUCUUCUAAUGCACAUUCUAUUGGAGAUUUUCUCGCAUCAGAGGCAGGUAAGGCAGCAUCAAUAUUUGAUGAUCUUCGGAGUGCUCUUUCAACCCACCAGGGAGACAUGGCUCUUUUUGCUAGGGAACUGCGUCAGAAAUUCCAUGUUAGUGGUGAGCGUAUGAAGGAGGUUUCUGACUUCAUGAAUGGAUUUCUCCAAAAGAUUUUGGAACAAUUCCAAGGGCUGCAGAAUGAUGCAGCACAAGCUGAUGAAAUUCAGUUGAAAAGCAUUGCUGAUUUUCAGAAGGCUUAUGAGGAAAAAUCAAAAUCUGAUGCUGAAAAGCUUGUUGCUGAUAUCAGCAACCUGGUCUCCAAUCACAUUCAGCGUCAAAAAGAGCUGGUGGACUCAAGGCUUGUUGUUCUUAGAGAAACUGCAACUGGAAACAAGGCAAAUUUGGAUAUGCAUGCUUCUUCAAUGGAGGGCAUGACAACAGAUGCAAAACGAAAAUGGCAGGAAUUUUCUAUGCAAGCAGAGAAUGAUGCUAAGGAUUGUGCAGAUUACUCUGCUGUGAAACAUUGUCGUAUGGAGUUACUUUUACAGCAGUGUUUAAGCACUACUGAAUCAGCUUUUGAGCACUGGAAAAAGACUCGUGAGUCGGUGAACGAGAUGGGCAGUAAACAUGUUUCAUCUUUGCUGUCACUCACCAGAAAUGUAUCUGAUAGCAUUGAGCAAAACGAUGCUGAGAUUGGCUGUGCAAGAGUUGCAGCUGAACAAGAUGGGGCAAGGAAUAGUGAUGAUGUCCUUAAGCAUAUUGACAAUGUAUCAGAACAGGAGCGGGAAUCUGUAUCUGGAAUCUUGGGAGCUGUCAAAGCUCAUGCAGAUACACUUGAGGUUUUCAGGGAGGAUCUUUCAGGCCAAUCGACAGCUAUUGAGAGCAAAGCACAGGAAACCCUCCAGCAGCAAUAUAUGGAUUAUGAGCCGACAGGCACAACACCAGUGAGAUGUGAGCCAGACAUUCCCAGUAAGGGGACGAUUGAAUCACUUCGAGCAAUGCCAAUGGAAACUCUUCUUGAAGAAUUCAGGGAAAAUAAUUCUUACGAAUCAUUUGAGGUGAAGGAACUGAAACCAUCUUUAAUACCAAGGUCACCCCUUGUACAACUGAACUAGUAAUUGGCUGGUCCUGUCUGAUCCAUCUACUUGCCAAUUAUUGCCAAUUUGUUGGUUGUAAGAAUCUUGUACAUUGUUAUUAUUUCCAUCAGAAAAUUCUCAGGAUGCUUUGGAGGGUGUAUUUUACAUAAUCCUGGUGUUUAGGAUAAAUUAAUCCCAUCUUGGGAUUUUUAGUAAUAUGUAGUAGCUUAGUACAAGGAUGUAAAGUGAGGCAGAGCUCCACACUUGGUCAUAUAAUUUUUAUUUUUGGGAUACUGAAUCCAUUAAUCAAUUCUGUGCUUAUUGUAUGACAUACACAGUUCUUGUUUUCUUGAGAGCAGAAAAUAAAGUUUUGUUGGAUAGUCAUUAGAAUCAA